GACGAACGCUGGCGGCGUGCUUAACACAUGCAAGUCGAACGGGAAGGCCCUGCUUUUGUGGGGUGCUCGAGUGGCGAACGGGUGAGUAACACGUGAGUAACCUGCCCUUGACUUUGGGAUAACUUCAGGAAACUGGGGCUAAUACCGGAUAGGAGCUCCUGCUGCAUGGUGGGGGUUGGAAAGUUUCGGCGGUUGGGGAUGGACUCGCGGCUUAUCAGCUUGUUGGUGGGGUAGUGGCUUACCAAGGCUUUGACGGGUAGCCGGCCUGAGAGGGUGACCGGCCACAUUGGGACUGAGAUUCGGCCCAGACUCCUACGGGAGGCAGCAGUGGGGAAUAUUGCACAAUGGGCGGAAGCCUGAUGCAGCAACGCCGCGUGCGGGAUGACGGCCUUCGGGUUGUAAACCGCUUUCGCCUGUGACGAAGCGUGAGUGACGGUAAUGGGUAAAGAAGCACCGGCUAACUACGUG
rnacentral:rRNA from 1 species